CCCUCACCGGGGUUGGAAAAACUAAGUACUCAUUUCUGCAGCCUUCCUUCCAGUAUCUAAUCUGGACAAAGCCGAAUGCAAUGUUAGUGAGCCAAUUUCCACAUUACUUGGAUGAACUUUGGAAGAGAAGGCGUAUUAGUCAUUUGUUUUUGUAAGAUAUCACACAAGGAAGAGAUAAACAACUGGCAGCAGUCAGGCAAAUACAGCUGGACUUCUCAUCAUGUUUCACUAUCACUCUUGCUUGGGCUGUUCCCCUGUAAAUACAGCCAGGAAGACAAAAGCUCUCUGAGUCAAUUAGCUUUAAGACCUCACAGGUAAGAAAAUCAAACCUAAUUGAAAUGCAUUAUGGCAAUUCCA